rnacentral:rRNA from 1 species
UUGGGGAUGAACCGAAAGGCGAAUCCCCAAGUUUAAAAACCAUUAAAUUUGUUGACUGAAGUAAUAUGAAUAUUAAAUUCUUAAAAACUUUCAACAACGGAUCUCUUGGUUCUCGCAUCGAUGAAGAACGCAGCGAAAUGCGAUACGUAAUGUGAAUUGCAGAAUUGUGAAUCAUCGAAUUUUUGAACGCACAUUGCACCUUUUGGUAUUCCAAAAGGUAUGUCUGUUUGAGCGUCAUUUCUUCUCACUUCAACAAUUGUUGUUGUGUGUUGACUGUUGCAUUUUUUAAAAAGCAUCAGUUGAAAAGGAAUCGCAAGUCGAGUAUAACGUUUUAGGUCUAACCACUCGUUAAGUAAAGACUGGCGUAACAAACCGCUCUAAUAAAAAUUUGACCUCAAAUCAGACAGGAUUACCCGCUGAACUUAAGCAUAUCAUAAAAGCGGAAGGAA